rnacentral:rRNA from 1 species
UUGCAGUUAAAAAGCUCGUAGUCGGAUUUCAGUGUUCAGUAAGCUGUCAUUUUGUUUCAGUCUUACUUACUCUUCUUUGUUGACAAUUUUCAUCGCCUUUAUUGGUGGUGUUUAUUUCGUCGACUCUUUUACUUUGAGAAAAUUAGAGUGUUCAAAGCAGGUCUUCACGCCUGAAUAUUACUCUUGGAAUAAUUACAUAUGACUUUGGUUCUUAUUUGUUGGUGAUUAGGGACCGAAGUAAUGAUUGCCAGGGACGGUUGGGGCCAUUCGUACUGCAAAGCGAGAGGUGAAAUUCUUGGACCUUUGUAUGACGAACUACUGCGAAAGCAUUUGGCUAGGACGUUCCCGUUGAUCAAGAACGAAAGUUGGGGGAUCGAAGACGAUCAGAUACCGUCGUAGUCUCAACCAUAAACUAUGCCAGCUAGGGAUGGGUGGAUGUUUUUCUAAACGACUCCAUCCGCACCUUAAAGAGAAAUCAAAGCAUUUGGGGUUCCGGGGGGAAGUAUGGUCGCAAAGGCUGAAACUUAAAGGAAUUGACCGGAGGG